UCAGGCCGUGUCCGGGGGACGGAUAGGGGAGAACCGGCCCGGUACAUGUCUGUACCGUCCGAAAUGGAAAGCAGGGCCUCGUACUCGCCGGCGAGUACGGUGUAACGAGCUACUGUGUUGUGGAGUAGUUGGCGUGCUUAAGGCAGUGAUGUCUGUGUUCAGAAAUUCGGUAAUAGGAUCGUCCGGGUCGUCUAGGACAUGCCUAGGUCGUCGGUAUUGGGCAGCGACAUCUUUCUGGGGUGUAUACGUGGCGGCGCUAACGAUAAGAGGGUUCUUGUGGUUGAUCGCUUUAUCAAAGUAGCGGCGAGAGGCUUCUUUCAUAAAGUGAUCAAUCGAUGGGAUCUCGAAAUCUCUAUGGAGAUUCGUGUUACGCACGAACCACGGGGCAUCCGCGGCUCGGCGUAAGAAUUUGUUUUGGAGGGUCUGGAAUUUCUUAAGGUCUGUGCAGGAAGUGUGAGCAAACACCGGACUGGCGUAAGUCAACACUGGACGGAUGCA